GAUCCUGGCUCAGGAUGAACGCUAGCUACAGGCUUAACACAUGCAAGUCGAGGGGCAGCAUUUUUAUAGCAAUAUAAAAGAUGGCGACCGGCGCACGGGUGAGUAACACGUAUCCAACCUGCCUUAUACAGGGGGAUAACAGUCAGAAAUGGCUGCUAAUACCGCAUAAGCGCACAGAGUUGCAUGGCUCAGUGUGAAAAACUCCGGUGGUAUAAGAUGGACCCGCGUUGGA
rnacentral:rRNA from 1 species